rnacentral:rRNA from 1 species
AACGUAGGGGACAAGCGUUAUCCGGAUUUACUGGGCGUAAAGCGCCCGUAGGCGGCCUGACAAGUUGGACGUGAAAGCUCCUGGCUUAACUGGGAGAGGCCGUUCAAAACUGUCAAGCUAGAGUCUGGAAGAGGAGAGCGGAAUUCCCGGUGUAGUGGUGGAAUGCGUAGAGAUCGGGAGGAACACCAGUGGCGAAAGCGGCUCUCUGGUCCAACACUGACGCUCAUGCACGAAAGCGUGGGGAGCAAACAGG